rnacentral:rRNA from 1 species
UACGUAGGGUGCGAGCGUUGUCCGGAAUUAUUGGGCGUAAAGAGCUCGUAGGCGGUGUGUCGCGUCGGCCGUGAAAACCUGGGGCUCAACUCUGGGCGUGCGGUCGAUACGGGCAUCACUUGAGUUCGGCAGGGGAGACUGGAAUUCCUGGUGUAGCGGUGAAAUGCGCAGAUAUCAGGAGGAACACCGGUGGCGAAGGCGGGUCUCUGGGCCGAUGACUGACGCUGAGGAGCGAAAGCAUGGGUAGCGAACAGG